AAAAGUUAAACAUUCACUGUCGUCACUUCCGGUAAGCGUCACACCCGGUAGUCGGAAAAGGGCUUUUUUUUGUCGGAAAAGGGAGCUUUUUCAACUCGCCUGUGUUGUAAAGUGAGAAGCAUUCACCCUGUAAGCAUGCAGAUCAACACUUCAGCUGAGUCCAAUUGAUUGCCCUGUGAUGGACUGACUCAUGACUGCUGGUGAUGGACCCCAGAACCCCAGCGCAACGCUCAGAGAAGAAGCAGGUAUGAACAAUGCAUGUAUGGAAAGUAUACAGAAUAUAGGAAACAAAAUCAAACUUUAAAUUAUAAAAUUAUGGAUUUGAUCAAACUAUUUCACAGUUUCUAAACCAAGUUUAGUUUAUGGGAUGAUAAAGCAAAAAAAAAAAAAAAAUUACCACAGUCAUGUCAGAACAAAGAGAGGUCAUCUCCAAAUUGUCUCUCAAAGUCAGAAGAUUAACAUUCUCAGAAAGGGCCAUCCGGACCCCUGAAAGUGCGCCGGGCCAAAAUCCCCCUUAUACUCAUCUGUCACAAUGCAGUCAGACGAGUGGAGUUCUCCUGGAAACUGACACACCCAGACUCCUCCAUUAUAUUGCUGCACAGAGACGUGAGUUGUCAUUCUAGAGAUUGUAUCUCCG